rnacentral:lncRNA from 1 species
CUUAGGGGUCUGCUCACGAAGCUUGAUUACGAGUAGAGCCCCACUUGUUUGGGAUCUUGCUCCAAAGGCAGUACAGGGAUGUCUACAGUGCUUACAGUAAGAGCUGGAAAAGAUGAAGCAACUAGAUAGCAGAAAAAUACUGAGUGGACACUGACCGUCUUAAUAAUUGGCAUCUGAUGCUACUUCUUGGGGAAGAUGAUAUUGGACAAAUCCAUGAUUAGAGCCUUUGUAAUGUAAACCAUCCCUACUGUGCUGGAAUUGAUUACACACAUUUGGUGAAGGAUGAUUUGAAUGCUCCACAGGUCUGACUUGAAGUUUUCAGGAGUGAGUCUGGGCACAUCAAUUUUGAGGUUUCUUCUGGGAUAAUUUGUGGUGAAAUAAAAGCAACAAAAGGAAAUUCCAUGUACCUCCUUCAGGUUCUGAUGGAAGAGGAAUCCUCCCGCAAAGGUAUCUCAAGAAUUAUUCUUUAUUUUGUCAUCUACUUCAGCC